rnacentral:rRNA from 1 species
ACGAGUGCGUCCUACGGGAGGCAGCAGUGGGGAAUAUUGGACAAUGGGCGAAAGCCUGAUCCAGCAAUGCCGCGUGAGUGAUGAAGGCCUUAGGGUUGUAAAGCUCUUUUACCCGGGAUGAUAAUGACAGUACCGGGAGAAUAAGCUCCGGCUAACUCCGUGCCAGCAGCCGCGGUAAUACGGAGGGAGCUAGCGUUAUUCGGAAUUACUGGGCGUAAAGCGCACGUAGGCGGCUUUGUAAGUAAGAGGUGAAAGCCCAGAGCUCAACUCUGGAAUUGCCUUUUAGACUGCAUCGCUUGAAUCAUGGAGAGGUCAGUGGAAUUCCGAGUGUAGAGGUGAAAUUCGUAGAUAUUCGGAAGAACACCAGUGGCGAAGGCGGCUGACUGGACAUGUAUUGACGCUGAGGUGCGAAAGCGUGGGGAGCAAACAGGAUUAGAUACCCUCGUAGUCCA